UCCCUGGUAGUCCAAUGAGUAGGACUCUGUGCUUUCACAGCUGAGGACCCAGGUUCGAUCCCUGGUCAGGGAA
rnacentral:tRNA from 1 species